rnacentral:rRNA from 1 species
UGCAGUCGNNCGGCAGCACGGAGCUUGCUCUGGUGGCGAGUGGCGAACGGGUGAGUAAUGCGUCGGAACGUAUCCAAUAAUGGGGGAUAACGCAGCGAAAGCUGUGCUAAUACCGCAUACGCCCUCCGGGGGAAAGCAGGGGAUCUUCGGACCUUGCGUUAAUGGAGCGGCCGACGUCUGAUUAGCUAGUUGGUAGGGUAAAGGCCUACCAAGGCGACGAUCAGUAGCUGGUCUGAGAGGAUGAUCAGCCACACUGGGACUGAGACACGGCCCAGACUCCUACGGGAGGCAGCAGUGGGGAAUUUUGGACAAUGGGCGCAAGCCUGAUCCAGCCAUUCCGCGUGAGUGAAGAAGGCCUUCGGGUUGUAAAGCUCUUUCAGGAGGGAAGAAACGAUUGUGGCUAAUACCCAUGAUUAAUGACGGUACCUUCAGAAGAAGCACCGGCUAACUACGUGCCAGCAGCCGCGGUAAUACGUAGGGUGCGAGCGUUAAUCGGAAUUACUGGGCGUAAAGCGUGCGCAGGCGGUUUUUCAAGUCUGAUGUGAAAUCCCCGGGCUUAACCUGGGAACUGCGUUGGAAACUGAAAGACUAGAGUGCGGCAGAGGGGGGUAGAAUUCCACGUGUAGCAGUGAAAUGCGUAGAUAUGUGGAGGAAUACCGAUGGCGAAGGCAGCCCCCUGGGUCGACACUGACGCUCAUGCACGAAAGCGUGGGUAGCAAACAGGAUUAGAUACCCUGGUAGUCCACGCCCUAAACGAUGUCAACUAGUUGUUGGGGAGGGAGACCUCCUUAGUAACGCAGCUAACGCGUGAAGUUGACCGCCUGGGGAGUACGGUCGCAAGAUUAAAACUCAAAGGAAUUGACGGGGGCCCGCACAAGCGGNGGNUUNUGUGGNNUAAUUCGAUGCAACGCGAAAAACNNUACCUACC